rnacentral:rRNA from 1 species
ACGGGGUGCAGCAGGCGCGGAAAACUUCACACUGGAGGCAACUCCGAUGAGGGAAUUCCUAGUGCUAGCACAUUAGUGUUAGCUUUUCUUAAGCGUAGAUAACUUCAAGGAAUAAGGGCUGGGUAAGACGGGUGCCAGCCGCCGCGGUAAUACCCGCAGCCCAAGUGGUGGUCGAUUUUAUUGAGUCUAAAACGUUCGUAGCCGGUUUGGUAAAUCCUUGGGUAAAUCGAGAGGCUUAACCUUUCGAAUUCCGAGGAGACUGCCAAACUUGGGACCGGGAGAGGCGAGAGGUACUUCUGGGGUAGGGGUAAAAUCCUGUAAUCCUAGAAGGACCACCGGUGGCGAAGGCGUCUCGCUAGAACGGAUCCGACGGUGAGGGACGAAGCCCUGGGGCGCAAACGGGAUUAGAUACCCCGGUAGUCCAGGGUGUAAACGCUGCAGACUUGGUGUUGGGGGCCCUACGGGGGCGUUCAGUGCCGGAGAGAAGUUGUUAAGUCUGCUACUUGGGGAGUACGUCCGCAAGGAUGAAACUUAAAGGAAUUGGCGGGGGAGCAC